rnacentral:rRNA from 1 species
UGCGUAACAGCUCACUGGUCGAGUGGACAUGCGCCGACAAUACACGGGGCUAAGCUGGACACCGAAGCGGCGGGAUUUUAUCUAUAUAGAAUCGGUAGGGGAGCUUCCCAUGGGCGGUGAAGCCGCCGGGCGACCGGCGGUGGAGCGCAUGGGAGUGAGAAUGCUGGCAUGAGUAGCGAGAGACGAGAGAGUAACUCGUCCGCCGUGAACCCGAGGUUUCCUGGGCAAGGCUAAUCCUCCCAGGGUCAGUCGGGGGCUAAGGCGAGGCCGGGAGGCGUAGCCGACGCGCAGCAGGCAGACAUUCCUGCACCGCGCACGCGGCGCUACGACCGACGGGGCGACGGAUGGGGGUGGCUCGGCGGGGUUCUGGACGUCCCCGUGAUGGAGCGCGGCCCGCGGACCAGGGAAAUCCGGUCCGCACGAGGGCGAGGCUCCGGACGAAGCACUUAAGCGAAGCGAGUGAGCCCGAGGUCCCUAGAAAAACCCCUAGGCAGGCGCGUGCGCGCCCGUACCGCAAACCGACACAGGUGGGUGGGUAGAACAUACCGAGGCGAUCGGGUCAACCAUGGUCAAGGAACUCGGCACAAUGGCCCCGUAACUUCGGGAGAAGGGGUGCCCGCGCGUACGUGAACGGACUUGCUCCGGGAGCGGAGGCGGGCCGCAGUGGAGAGGCCCAAGCGACUGUUUACCAAAAACACAGGACUCUGCAGAAGCCGCAAGGCGACGUAUAGGGUCUGACGCCUGCCCGGUGCCGGAAGGUCACGCGGAGGAGUUAGCCAUUUCGGCGAAGCCCCGAAGCCAAGCCCCGGUAAACGGCGGCCGUAACUAUAACGGUCCUAAGGUAGCGAAAUUCCUUGUCGGGUAAGUUCCGACCUGCACGAAAGGCGCAACGACUUGGGCGCUGUCUCGACCAUGGACCCGGUGAAAUUGCACUGGUCGUGAAGAUGCGACUUACCCGCGGAAGGACGGAAAGACCCCGUGAACCUUCACUGCAGCUUGGCAUUGGCCGCUGGUCCCGCGUGUAGAGGAUAGGCAGGAGGCACAGAUCCGGAGGCGCCAGCCCCCGGGGAGCCGCCCUUGGAAUACUGCCCUCGCGCGACCGGCGUCCUAACCCGAGGCCGUCAACCGGCUCGGGGACCGUGCCAGGCGGGCAGUUUGACUGGGGCGGUCGCCUCCUAAAGGGUAACGGAGGCGCGCGAAGGUCCGCUCGGGACGGUCGGCAACCGUCCUUUUGAAUGCAAGAGUACAAGCGGGCUUGACUGCGAGGCCCACAAGCCGAGCAGGUGCGAAAGCAGGCUCUAGUGAUCCGGCGGCCCCGAGUGGGUGGGCCGUCGCUCAACGGAUAAAAGGUACUCCGGGGAUAACAGGCUGAUCUUGCCCAAGAGUCCACAUCGACGGCAAGGUUUGGCACCUCGAUGUCGGCUCAUCGCAUCCUGGGGCUGUAGCAGGUCCCAAGGGUUGGGCUGUUCGCCCAUUAAAGCGGUACGCGAGCUGGGUUCAGAACGUCGUGAGACAGUUCGGUCCCUAUCCUCCGUGGGCGCAGGAGAAUCGAUGGAGGCUGCCCCCAGUACGAGAGGACCGGGGUGGACGCACCUCCGGUGAACCGGUUGUCGACCAACGGCACGGCCGGGUAGCCGCGUGCGGCGCGGAUAACCGCUGAAGGCAUCUAAGCGGGAAGCCGUUCCAGGGAUUAGUUCUCCUUCCGGUAAGGGCCCAGGUAGACUACCUGGUCGAUAGACGGCAGGUGCAAGGCUGGCGACAGCCUCAGCCGAGCCGCACUAAUCGCCCGAGCUCUUCCGGAA